GGAUUCUUAAUACUUCAAAUGGUAGUCAACACCCACUAUCAACAAACAACUUCAGAAGCAUAACAUCCGGUCACGGUCGACUGAUUAGAACAAACAUCAAAUCAAAAGUAAAGGAUGAUGAUUGUUAUACCAUGAAAUUGACAUCGUACGAAGUAAAUAAACAGUUUAAACAAGAUAGUCCAAAGUGAAGAGAAUCUGUAAGUAUUUUGGGAAAUCGGU